UGGGGAAUAUUGCACAAUGGGCGCAAGCCUGAUGCAGCCAUGCCGCGUGUGUGAAGAAGGCCUUCGGGUUGUAAAGCACUUUCAGCGAGGAGGAAGGGUAGUGUGUUAAUAGCACAUUGCAUUGACGUUACUCGCAGAAGAAGCACCGGCUAACUCCGUGCCAGCAGCCGCGGUAAUACGGAGGGUGCAAGCGUUAAUCGGAAUUACUGGGCGUAAAGCGCACGCAGGCGGUUUGUUAAGUCAGAUGUGAAAUCCCCGCGCUUAACGUGGGAACUGCAUUUGAAACUGGCAAGCUAGAGUCUUGUAGAGGGGGGUAGAAUUCCAGGUGUAGCGGUGAAAUGCGUAGAGAUCUGGAGGAAUACCGGUGGCGAAGGCGGCCCCCCUGGACAAAGACUGACGCUCAGGUGCGAAAGCG
rnacentral:rRNA from 1 species